GACGGAGGGCGCAAGCGUUGUUCGGAAUUACUGGGCGUAAAGCGCGCGCAGGCGGGAAGGUAAGUCUGGAGUGAAAUUCCGGGGCUCAACUCCAGAACUGCCUUUGAUACUGAGGAUCUUGAGUUCGGGAGAGGUGAGUGGAACUGCGAGUGUAGAGGUGAAAUUCGUAGAUAUUCGCAAGAACACCAGUGGCGAAAGGCGGCUCACUGGCCCGAUACUGACCGCUGAGGCACGAAAGCGUGGGGAGCAAACAGGG
rnacentral:rRNA from 1 species